GACGAACGCUGGCGGCGUGCUUAACACAUGCAAGUCGAACGAAGUGGUGAACGGGUGAGUAACGCGUAAUCAACCUGCCCUUCUGCGGGGGACAACAGUUGGAAACGACUACUCAUACCGCAUACGGAAGGAGGGGCUUGCGUCUGAUUAGCUGGUUGGAGGGGUAACGGCCAACCAAGGCGAGGAUCAGUAGCCGGUCUGAGAGGAUGAACGGCCACAUUGGGACUGAGACACGGCCCAAGAUUCUACGGGAGGCAGCAGUGGGGAAUUUUCCGCAAUGGACGAAAGUCUGACGGAGCAACGCCGCGGGAGUGAUGACGGCCUUCGGGUUGGAAAGCUCUGUUAGUCGGGACGCGGUACCGGAAUAGAAAGCCACGGCUAACUACGUGCCAGCAGCCGCGGUAAUAC
rnacentral:rRNA from 1 species